CCUAUGAUAAGAAGAUUCUAUCAAUUCAUUCCUAGAUUGAAUUGAUACGUCAUUCAAUCCUGUGUCAAAAUGUAAUGUAAUACAGGGGGCGUCUGUUUACCUU